CGGCAGUGUUGUGCGGUGCUCGUGUGUGUUGGAUUCUGUCCUUUCCGGAACACUUUACCGAUAUUGUGGUGAAGGUGAAUCAACCAAAGCACUAUCUCAGGCUUGCGUCCAGCGACCCAGCAGGUAUGGAAGUUGUCGUGUAAAGUGACUCUUGCCUCAACUGCCUCGUAAUGGCCUCCUUGGGAACCCUGAGCCAGUGGAGCGUAUCUUUGCUGCCAAUUGAUGUCCGUCAUUGCCUCUCACUGGCGGCAGCCUCCCCGUGUGCAUCAAGCUUAGUGUCACGAUGACGACACGAGGGUUUCAUUACUAAUCGGUCGAUGGUUAAUGUACUUUAAAAAAUAAAGAAUGUUGUUAUUGUUG